GGUUAUACUGUUACUCCUCUCAGUUCCAGACAGGUUAUACUGUUACUCCUCUCAGUUCCAGACAGGACAGGUUAUACUGUUACUCCUCUCAGUUCCAGACAGAACAGGUUAUGCUGUUACUCCUCUCAAUUCCAGACAGGACAGGUUAUACUGUUACUCCUCUCAGUUCCAGACAGGACAGGUUAUACUGUUACUCCUCUCAGUUCCAGACAGGACAGGUUAUACUGUUACUCCUCUCAGUUCCAGACAGAACAGGUUAUGCUGUUACUCCUCUCAAUUCCAGACAGGACAGGUUAUACUGUUACUCCUCUCAGUUCCAGACAGGACAGGUUAUACUGUUACUCCUCUGUUCCAGACAGGACAG